rnacentral:rRNA from 1 species
UACGAAGGGGGCUAGCGUUGUUCGGAAUCACUGGGCUUAAAGGGCGCGUAGGCGGGCUGUCAAGUCUGGGGUGAAAUCCCGCGGCUCAACCGUGAAACUGCCUCAGAUACUGACGGUCUCGAGGGGGAUAGGGGCGAGCGGAACUGUGAGUGGAGCGGUGAAAUGCGUUGAUAUUCACAGGAACUCCGGUGGCGAAGGCGGCUCGCUGGAUCUCUUCUGACGCUGAGGCGCGAAAGCUAGGGGAGCAAACGGG